UCUUUAAAUAGCUAUACAUGUAACGUUACAUGAUACAAGAAGAAUGAGUUCCAAGAGUUCAAGCAAUGCUCUUCGACUAUUUUUGUUUCUCUUACUUCUUUGUCUCAUCUCUAAGACCUCUGGCCGGAGAAUUGUUGUAAUAGAAGAACCUGUUAGAGGUCAAAUUGAAACCUCUUCAUCUUGUACAUGUGGAGGAAAAAGAGGUAGUUCUGGAAGACCAAAUGACCGUCCAUGCCCUCGUCCACCUUCACGUCCAUGCCCACCUCAACGUCCUGGCUCUUCAAGAGGAUCUACAAUACUCUAUCAUCUCAAAGACAAGGACAAGGCAUCCUAUCUCUCAACUUGGUUCAGGUUUUUGUAAUAAUCUGUCCCUAAUUAAUGUGUGUUUGAUAUAGAAAUUACUGCGUUCUACAUUUUACUUUAAACCAAUAAUGUUUAUAUAUCACAUUAUUCACAUAAUUGUAACCAAUUUAGUAAGAUCAUUGGUGACGCUAAAUCCAAGGUAUAAAAUUCUGUUUUACUUUU